GUAGGUGGCAAGCGUUGUCCGGAAUUAUUGGGCGUAAAGCGCGCGCAGGCGGUCCUUUAAGUCUGAUGUGAAAGCCCACGGGCUCAACCGUGGAGGGUCAUUGGGAACUGGGGGACUUGAGUACAGAAGAGGAAAGCGGAAUUCCAAGUGUAGCGGUGAAAUGCGUAGAGAUUUGGAGGAACACCAGUGGCGAAGGCGGCUUUCUGGUCUGUAACUGACGCUGAGGCGCGAAAGCGUGGGGAGCAAACAGGAUUAGAUACCCUGGUAGUCCACGCCGUAAACGAUGAGUGCUAAGUGUUAGGGGGUUUCCGCCCCUUAGUGCUGCAGCUAACGCAUUAAGCACUCCGCCUGGGGAGUACGGCCGCAAAGGCUGA
rnacentral:rRNA from 1 species